AGCAGUGAGACAAAUCCAACUGAAUCUCUGACAGUUUUUCUUUCACAGUGUCACGCAAGAGUAGAAAACACUUUUGGAGUUAUUGCGAUGCGAUGAGAUCCAAACGAACAUAUGAAGGAGUGCGAUGUCUUGCUGCAAUACUGGAUCAAGCCACGAGAUAGAGACAACGCGGUCUCCGUGAGGAAUCAAGGUGUGGUGGGGUCAUGUUAGGCUAUAGGUCUGGCUCUGGUCCAGCUCACCAUAUGAGGAGUAUGCAGAGAAGAGGCUGCACUCAUUUCACGCGCUGCUGUAAUUAGACCAGUGCAGGGAAAUAUAAUUACUGCAGACCUGCUCAAAGGGCGCAAAUACUGUAGAUACACUGAGCAUGAAGACCUGCAGCACCUGUAUGGUGAGCCUGACCACCUCCUCUGUCCUGCCUGCUCAGCAGCAGCCAUUUAUGGCUGUGAGAUGAUCAAUGCAGGAGCAUGCUGCCCAUUCAUCUCAGCUAACUGACCUGCCAGAGUGCAAAAAGGGCAUACUGAAAAACGAAGCCUGUCCUGGCAAGCACAGUCACUGGAUGUUGUCAUGAAGACAACCUCAAAGCCAUGUACGCAUUUAAUUGACAAGCCAUAAACACCUGCAGGUGUAAGAAGUGCAACUUCUAUCGAUUUCUUUUGAACUGGGGCCAAGCCGCAGGGACUCUGAGGUUGAUAUUAGGGAUCUGCCAUCCUCCCACUGAGUGAUCCACCCGUCCAAGUAGCUGUCACAUUUAGUCUGAACGAAUGCUCUUCUUGUGGGCUGAUUAAUUACUGUGUGUAAGAGGUUAUCCUGUAAUCAUCACUGCGAGGUCCCAGAGACAAAGACACUACCACAGUAAGUUCCUCAGCUGUGGAGACGGCGGCCAUUAAUCAACAAACCACACACUCGACAUGUAAGGAUUAGUCCUUGACGACGAAGAUAAGUAAAUAAUUGUGAUAUAUUUUACAACAACCACUUCUGAAGUGACGCCUUUAAUUAACUGCUAUAAAUUAUAGAGCAUGUUGUUCACAUUGAGGCAGAGAAAAGAAACUGAAUCCUACCAGCUUGAAAAGGUGCUAUUCUGAGGAUGACCCUCUGAUUGCCUCACAAUCCCCCCAUUAAACGAUAG